UUGUUUGCUGGUGCAGCAUCAUUUAGAUUCACAAACCCUAAGAGCCUUAUGAAGUGGAUUUAAUCUUGAUCACUCUUAAAGGACUUUAUUGAAAUGGGAAUCUUGAUGAUGCUGCAUCGGCAAUAAA